CAGCAUGAUGCAAUAAUGAAAGGUGUUAUACGUUGGCAACUUCUCGCUCUAAUCCGCCAUCUUGAACUACCUUAGGAGAAACUGUGUUGUUUCUUUGCUAAUUUCACUGAACAUUUCCCAAUAUAUUAGAAAAAAAUUCUAAACAAGCUACAUUGAUUCAAUUUUCGUUGUUCGUUUUGUUCUUAUUCGCUGACAUUUGUUUUCUAAUUGCUUGAAAUUUGGUAAUUUCCUUAGUGUUUUCCUGGCCGACCUGUGCUGGUAUUGUAAUUAAGAGCUAAUACACCAUUCUCUGGUGAACUGCAGCUGCGGCCGAAUUUGAUUGUGUGCAUCAUCCUGCAGAUAUUUUGAAAUUUUGUGGACGCUUCUGUUGUGCUGCGUUCCUGCUCCGCCCGUGUUUUAUAGUGUUGCGUCCCUGUUGCGCCUUUGCAUUAGUGUGUGCGUUGUGCUUUAGACACGUUGAAGUAAGUUGAAACCAGGUUUUUGUUUGUUAAAAACCUAAAAAGCCAUUCAUUUGCAGAUUGUUUGUAUGCUUCUGCUGUGCUGCGUUACUGCUUCACCCGUGUAUUAAAUUGCAGCGUUCCUGUUAAUAUAAGCAUCGUCGUUUAAGUACAAAACCGCGUAACUGACAUUUGCUGCUAAAAAUUGGAUUUGCUCACACAAGUUCUUGGCUCAAUCCUUAUCCAUUCUUCCUGAUAC